GAUGAACGCUGGCGGCGUGCCUAAUACAUGCAAGUCGAGCGAACUGACGAGAAGCUUGCUUCUCUGAUGUUAGCGGCGGACGGGUGAGUAACACGUGGAUAACCUACCUAUAAGACUGGGAUAACUUCGGGAAACCGGAGCUAAUACCGGAUAAUAUUUUGAACCGCAUGGUUCAAAAGUGAAAGACGGCCUUGCUGUCACUUAUAGAUGGAUCCGCGCUGCAUUAGCUAGUUGGUAAGGUAACGGCUUACCAAGGCAACGAUGCAUAGCCGACCUGAGAGGGUGAUCGGCCACACUGGAACUGAGACACGGUCCAGACUCCUACGGGAGGCAGCAGUAGGGAAUCUUCCGCAAUGGGCGAAAGCCUGACGGAGCAACGCCGCGUGAGUGAUGAAGGUCUUCGGAUCGUAAAACUCUGUUAUUAGGGAAGAACAUAUGUGUAAGUAACUGUGCACAUCUUGACGGUACCUAAUCAGAAAGCCACGGCUAACUACGUG
rnacentral:rRNA from 1 species